CAUCAGGGAGCAAUCAACCUGGGCUUUAAGAGGAGUGGAGAACCAGAGGGAGGCGUCAGCUCAUUGUCUCACAUAGUGUGGAAGAUGUUUUUUACUGGAGAUUCUAUGGAUUUUUUGUGCCUCUGGUUAAUUCAAGGAAAUUCAAGCCUCGACGUCUCGGCUGUGAGUCUCCACUCUGCCUCCUUCCUGGAUCCAGGUUUCUAGAGUUUUGGUUCACCUGCUUCUGCGAACCUUUCACCUGCCUGUCCACCCUCCCACGAUGAAUACCCCCUUUUAUGGAAAGUAUUGAAAAGAGAGAAACACUGAGUCUGAAGAACCUGAAAACACACAGUUCACCUCGGCUGUAUAUCUGCUGUAUGUUUUGCGUUGGAUGUCGACUGUAAGUGCACAGAGCUGUUUCCCACACAGCAGCUUUGCAGCCCACACGCCGACCUGGGUUCAGAGGUGCAGAAAUGAAGGACCGACUUUGGCUGAUCCAAUAGCUUGAAGGGCUGGGAGGAUGCCUCGGCCUCCACAGUCAGAGGCAUGUUAGAGCUACACGUUACAUAUUCCUAAAACUGAAAGCAUGGAGGAUUAGUUAAUGAACCAGCUACAGGCAACAGGAGAACUUUAAGCUGUAAAAGGUUUUAUUUGACGUUUAUUCUCUGGUGCUUCUUGGCCAUGGUUCUGUUUUGAUAGAUCUACUUUAUGUGUUUACGUUCUUCAAACUUUGAAACUGAAUCACAGAUCAAGGAUACAGACACUUCCAUAUGUAUAGUUGCUGGAGGGAGAAUCUCGGUUGUGAAUCUCCUUUUCUGCUUGCUCCCUGCAGACCAACCCACAUAUUAUAAUAUAUAAACACCCCUAUGUUCAUACUGUAUAAAUCAUGGCAUCACAUCCAGUCACACACCUCAUCCUCCCACUAAUCGCUCCAACUAAUUAUACUUUCUGUAAUUCUGCUGAUAUGAAUAUGUGAGGGGGUGGACAAGAGAGCAGCUGAGUUUCUCACUGCAGAAACUAACAAUGACAUUAAAACAAUACUCCAGCUUCUCCGAGCUUCUAGAAAUCUGAGCCAAUUGUCCACAUUUAAAUGCUGCACCAAAUUCUGAGCAAAAUGGCAGCACUUUAAGAGGCAGUAAAUCACAUAACCUCUGUGCGUUCAGGUCAAGCGAUCUGCAUGUGAUUGCUGUGGGCGUGAAAAGCCUGAAGGUGGCUUUAAAUAGACUAAAAAAAGAGAUAAAAUCAUAACUUUAAAUUUGAAGCCAGAGUGUUUUUCCCUGCAAUAAAAAAAACAUUGACCCGUUCAUCUUUAUGAAAUGUACUUUCAUUAUAGAUACACACCCAAGUAGCAAAACUGACCUGGCCCGGUUCUGGCCCAUACAAUGCAGUUUACACUCGGCCCACGUACCCCAAAUAAAGAUGGCUCUAUGGGCAGAAAAUAGUGGUGGCCCUGUUCUGGUCCAGAACAGUUUCAGUACUGCCACCAAAUGUAUACCCUAACCAAGCCAUGUAAUAAUGACAUGGGUCAUAUUCAGCUGAGAUUAAACAUGCCUCAACAACA